rnacentral:lncRNA from 1 species
UAUGUAUUCUGCAAGUUUAUGACCGUGACAGGGAUGGACGAUAUCCAGGCUCAAGAUCUGGGGGAUGAUGUGCAUCUCGUUCGGGAUAGGUACGUGGAUGGACUUGAAGGAUCACCGAAAGAAGAGAAACAGACUUACAGACCUAGUAGGCUACUGGUGGAGUAUCUGGAAGGUCAGAAAUGAUUGUAUCUUUCGAAAAAUCCCGUCGAACCCCGGAG